ACGAAGGUCCCAAGCGUUGUUCGGAAUCACUGGGCGUAAAGGGUGCGUAGGUGGUGCGGUAAGUCAGAUGUGAAAUCCCGGGGCUUAACCCCGGAACUGCAUCCGAUACUACCGUACUAGAGGACCGGAGAGGAGAUUGGAAUUCUCGGUGUAGCAGUGAAAUGCGUAGAGAUCGGGAGGAACACUCGUGGCGAAAGCGAGUCUCUGGACGGAUCCUGACGCUGAGGCACGAAGGCCGGGGUAGCGAAAGG
rnacentral:rRNA from 1 species